UACGAAGGGGGCUAGCGUUGCUCGGAAUCACUGGGCGUAAAGGGUGCGUAGGCGGGUCUUUAAGUCAGGGGUGAAAUCCUGGAGCUCAACUCCAGAACUGCCUUUGAUACUGAAGAUCUUGAGUUCGGGAGAGGUGAGUGGAACUGCGAGUGUAGAGGUGAAAAUUCGUAGAUAUUCGCAAGAACACCGGUGGCGAAGGCGGCGCUCUGGACCGAGACUG
rnacentral:rRNA from 1 species